rnacentral:rRNA from 1 species
UAACAGGCCCGCAAGGGUGCUGACGAGUGGCGGACGGGUGAGGAAUACAUCGGAAUCUGCCCGGUUGUGGGGGAUAACGUAGGGAAACUUACGCUAAUACCGCAUACGACCGAAAGGUGAAAGCGUGGGAUCCGCAAGGACCUCGCGCAGCCGGAUGAGCCGAUGUCGGAUUAGCUAGUUGGCGGGGUAAAGGCCCACCAAGGCGACGAUCCGUAGCUGGUCUGAGAGGAUGAUCAGCCACACUGGGACUGAGACACGGCCCAGACUCCUACGGGAGGCAGCAGUGGGGAAUAUUGGACAAUGGGGGCAACCCUGAUCCAGCAAUGCCGCGUGUGUGAAGAAGGCCUUCGGGUUGUAAAGCACUUUUAUCCGGAACGAAACGCGCAGGGCGAAUAGCUUUGCGAACUGACGGUACCGGAGGAAUAAGCACCGGCUAACUUCGUGCCAGCAGCCGCGGUAAUACGAAGGGUGCAAGCGUUACUCGGAAUUACUGGGCGUAAAGCGUGCGUAGGUGGUUUGUUAAGUCUGUUGUGAAAGCCCCGGGCUCAACCUGGGAAUGGCAAUGGAUACUGGCAAGCUAGAGUGCGGUAGAGGGUAGUGGAAUUCCCGGUGUAGCGGUGAAAUGCGUAGAGAUCGGGAGGAACACCAGUGGCGAAGGCGGCUACCUGGACCAGCACUGACACUGAGGCACGAAAGCGUGGGGAGCAAACAAGAUUAGAUACCCUGGUAGUCCACGCCCUAAACGAUGCGAACUGGACGUUGGGAGCAACUUGGCUCUCAGUGUCGAAGCUAACGCGUUAAG